UGCUUGUUCAUCCACAAUAAUUGCUUUCUUUUGCAAGUUGGGCCACUAACUUUCCGUUUGGGAUAUGGAAUUGAAAUUAUGAACAGACUAAAGAAGAAAGAUUGUACUACAUAUUAUUAAGUACAGGGGAGUAUGCCUCUUUAAGGAAGACAGAUGGGAAGACCCAAACUAGAUCAACCAGAGAGACCAAUGAUCGAAGCAACUCUUUUAUGAAGAAUGCUUCUGUCCUCAUUCCCUCCGCGUCCUGAAGUGUUUGCUUCCAGGUCCCUGAACGCCUGAGCGGGAGGCCAAAGGUAGAAGAGUGUAAAGUGAAAACUCUCUGAGUCAGGAACUACAUCCUGUGACUGCUCAUCUCCAGGACCUUGGACAGGGCCCUGCACAGGGAUGCCCAGGAGCGUGGACUGGAUCUCAGUGGAUGCCAUGUACAGAAGAAUCAGGAGAAGGUGGAGGGAGCAUAUUCCAAGCGCCUCCUGCUUUAAGAAGACCAAGUAUGUGGGGGAAGUGGACCUCAGGAAGCAAUCUCUAAAAGGCAAGCAU